rnacentral:rRNA from 1 species
GAUGAACGCUGGUGGCGUGCCUAAUACAUGCAAGUCGAGCGAACAGAUAAGGAGCUUGCUCCUUUGACGUUAGCGGCGGACGGGUGAGUAACACGUGGGUAACCUACCUAUAAGACUGGGAUAACUUCGGGAAACCGGAGCUAAUACCGGAUAAUAUUUCGAACCGCAUGGUUCGAUAGUGAAAGAUGGUUUUGCUAUCACUUAUAGAUGGACCCGCGCCGUAUUAGCUAGUUGGUAAGGUAACGGCUUACCAAGGCGACGAUACGUAGCCGACCUGAGAGGGUGAUCGGCCACACUGGAACUGAGACACGGUCCAGACUCCUACGGGAGGCAGCAGUAGGGAAUCUUCCGCAAUGGGCGAAAGCCUGACGGAGCAACGCCGCGUGAGUGAUGAAGGUCUUCGGAUCGUAAAACUCUGUUACUAGGGAAGAACAUACGUGUAAGUAACUGUGCACGUCUUGACGGUACCUAAUCAGAAAGCCACGGCUAACUACGUG